UACGGGGGGUGCGAGCGUUGUCCGGAAUCACUGGGCGUAAAGGGCGCGUAGGCGGCCACCGCAAGUCGACUGUGAAAUCUCCGGGCUUAACCCGGAAAGGUCAGCCGAUACUGCGGGGCUAGAGUGCAGAAGGGGCAACUGGAAUUCUCGGUGUAGCGGUGAAAUGCGUAGAUAUCGAGAGGAACACCUGCGGCGAAGGCGGGUUGCUGGGCUGACACUGACGCUGAGACGCGAAAGCGUGGGGAGCAAACAGG
rnacentral:rRNA from 1 species